rnacentral:rRNA from 1 species
GCGACGAUCAGUAGCCGGCUUGAGAGAGUGAACGGCCACAUUGGGACUGAGACACGGCCCAAACUCCUACGGGAGGCAGCAGUGGGGAAUAUUGCACAAUGGGGGAAACCCUGAUGCAGCGACGCCGCGUGAGUGAAGAAGUAUUUCGGUAUGUAAAGCUCUAUCAGCAGGGAAGAUAAUGACGGUACCUGACUAAGAAGCCCCGGCUAACUACGUGCCAGCAGCCGCGGUAAUACGUAGGGGGCAAGCGUUAUCCGGAUUUACUGGGUGUAAAGGGUGCGUAGGUGGCAAGGCAAGUCAGAUGUGAAAGCCCGGGGCUCAACCCCGGUACUGCAUUUGAAACUGUCUAGCUAGAGUGCAGGAGAGGUAAGCGGAAUUCCUAGUGUAGCGGUGAAAUGCGUAGAUAUUAGGAGGAACACCAGUGGCGAAGGCGGCUUACUGGACUGUAACUGACACUGAGGCACGAAAGCGUGG